UACGUAGGGUGCGAGCGUUGUCCGGAAUUAUUGGGCGUAAAGAGCUCGUAGGCGGUUUGUCGCGUCGGGAGUGAAAACCUCGGGCUUAACUCGGGGCUUGCUUUCGAUACGGGCAGACUGGAGGUAUGCAGGGGAGAACGGAAUUCCUGGUGUAGCGGUGAAAUGCGCAGAUAUCAGGAGGAACACCGGUGGCGAAGGCGGUUCUCUGGGCAUGACCUGACGCUGAGGAGCGAAAGUGUGGGGAGCGAACAGG
rnacentral:rRNA from 1 species